rnacentral:lncRNA from 1 species
CCCAUGUUGGGUGCAGAUGAGGGUUGGGGGCACCACGAUGAGUCUGCAGGGGGGGCUGAACCCUAUGGAUGUCUCUGUGUGGGACGUUAGAGGGACACUGCAAUGGGUCCGACCCCAAAAUCAUUGGGGUUGGGGUAGGAGGGGGUCCAGAAGACCCCAAAGGUGGGGGUGGGAGCCCAACAGUGACCCCAUGUUGGGCGCAGAUGAGGGUUGGGGGCACCACGAUGAGUCUGCAGGGGGGGCUGAACCCUAUGGAUGUCUCUCUGUGGGGUGUUGGGGGGAUACCAUGGUGGGUCCGACCCCAAAAUCAUUGGGGUUGGAGUAGGAGGGGGUCCAGAAGACCCCAAAGGUGGGGAUAUGUGGGUUGGGAGCCAGAGAGGAUGAAGAGGAUGAAGUCGACCCCAAAAGACGUCUCCAUGUUGAUUAUUGGGGUUGGGGGGACACUGCGAGGGGUCUGACCCCAAAAUCAGUGGGGUUGGGGUUGGGGAGGGGGCCGGAAGACCCCAAAGGUGGGGAUGUGUGGGUUGGGAGCCAGAGAGGACACCACGAUGAGUCCGACCCCAAAAGACCCCAAAAGUUCCCCCCAGUUUUGCCUUUUUUCCUCUCCCAUUUCCUCCCUUUUUCCUCUCCCAUUUCCUCCCUUUUUCCUCUCCCAUUUCCUCCCUUUUUCCUCUCCCAUUUCCUCCCUUUUCCCCUUCCAUUUCUCCCUUUCCCCCCCCCAAUUUUGCCUUUUUCCUCUCCCACUUCCUCCCUUUUUCCCCUCCCAUUUCUUCCUUUCCCCCCCCCCAAUUUUGCCUUUUUCCUCUCCCAUUUCCCCCCUUUUCCCCCUUCCAUUUCUUCCUUU